rnacentral:rRNA from 1 species
GAUGAACGCUAGCGGCAGGCCUAAUACAUGCAAGUCGAACGGGAUCCAGAUCAAAGCUUGCUUUGGUUUGGUGAGAGUGGCGUACGGGUGCGUAACGCGUGAGCAACCUACCCUUGUCAGGGGGAUAGCCCGGCGAAAGUCGGAUUAAUACCGCAUGACAUCAUUGAGAGGCAUCUUUCGAUGAUCAAAGAUUUAUCGGACAAGGAUGGGCUCGCGUGACAUUAGCUAGUUGGUAAGGUAACGGCUUACCAAGGCUACGAUGUCUAGGGGCUCUGAGAGGAGAAUCCCCCACACUGGUACUGAGACACGGACCAGACGCCUACGGGAGGCAGCAGUAAGGAAUAGUGGUCAAUGGACGGAAGUCUGAACCAGCCAUGCCGCGUGCAGGAAGACGGCCCUAUGGGUUGUAAACUGCUUUUAUACGGGAACAAACGUCGGUACGUGUACCGGUCUGAGUGUACCGUAAGAAUAAGGAUCGGCUAACUCCGUG